CUUCAAAAUUCGUUUCGAAUGCGAGCAACUCACACUGACUUUGGGAACUAGCAUAUAUUACGUCAUCACAAAAAAGAAAAGAGAUGAAAGAGGGGAGAGAAUUCCCAAUUGGGGCUGUCAUCGCGGUCAUGUUCUUCCUGGUGUACUUUGUCAUCAUUCUGAACGAAAUAGUGUUCCCCGGGGUAUUUUGGGAACUGAGAAAUGCGACCAACAAGUCGACCGAAGAAAUUAGGAAACACUACUGCUCUCUAACGAGUCCAUGGCGGGACGAGUGCUUUUAGCCGCUGCUGGAAGGAAUUUUAGAAAAUGUGUGUGAAUAAAAAUGAUGCAUUUUGUAAACUCUAAAUAAUUUGGCGGUAAAUCGUCACCCGUGAAGGUACUUUACUCACUGUCCUAUUUUUUGGUAAUAAUUUGAGAGGCGUUUUAUCACCAACAGGAAAUAGGUAGGAAAAAAAUCUGGUGACAAAUGUGACUUUGUAACAGAAUUAAAUACGUUUAUACACAAAAUGUUAAGCGUUUUAAAAUAAUGACGACAGGCUUGACUGGUACUCGAAUAUUUGGCUUAUUUCCCGUUGGUGACAAAAUGUCUCCUUAAUCAUUACCCAAAAAUAGAGCACUAUAGUACCUCCGUGGGUGAUGAUUUGUCUGCAAAUUAUUUACAGUGCAUACAUCUUAAUUUCGAAUUUACUUUGGGAAAAAAUUUGGAAAAUGCAGACUCAAAUUUUAUUUUACAAAAUUCUAGUAGCAGUUAAAUAGGGAUAUAAAGAUUUAUGUAUGUACAAAAUG